GGGCUUCGGCCCCGAGCUAGUGGCGACCUGGUCAGUACAAAUUGGGUUACCUGCCUGGAAGUGGGGGAUAACUCCGAGAAAUCGGAGCUAAUACCGCAUGUGGACGAGAGUCUAAAGCAGCAAUGCGCUUCCAGAUGGGCCCGAUCCUCAUUAGCUUGUUGGUAGGGUAAUGGCCUACCAAGGCGACGAUGAGUAGGCGACGUGAGAGCGUGACCGCCGACACGAGGACUGAGAUACGGCCUCGACUCCUACGGGGGGCAGCAGUCUAGAAGCUUCGGCAAUGGGCGAAAGCCUGACCGAGCGACGCCGCGUGAGGGAUGAAGCCCCUUGGGGUGUAAACCUCUUUCGACCGGGAAGAACGUCCCGAUGGUGAAUCGGGAUUUGACGGUACCGGGAGAAGAAGCACCGGCUAACUCCGUGCCAGCAGCCGCGGUAAUACGGGGGGUGCAAGCGUUAUUCGGAUUUAUUGGGCGUAAAGGGCGCGUAGGCGGUCUGGUAAGUCUGGUGUGAAAACGCUACCGCUCAACGGAGCGAUUGCACUGGAUACUGCUAGACUUGAGUGCGGGAGAGGUGAGCGGAAUGUGUGGUGUAGCGGUGGAAUGCGUAGAUAUCACACAGAAUACCCGUGGCGAAGGCGGCUCACUGGCCCGCAACUGACGCUGAGGCGCGAAAGCGUGGGGAGCAAACGGGAUUAGAUACCCCGGUAGUCCACGCUGUAAACGGUGAAUACUAGGUGUGGGAGGUAUCGACCCCUUCCGUGCCGCAGUUAACACAUUAAGUAUUCCGCCUGGGAAGUACGGCCGCAAGGUUGAAACUCAAAGGAAUUGACGGGGGGCCCGCACAAGCGGUGGAGCAUGUGGUUUAAUUCGAUGCAACGCGAAAAACCUUACCUACCCUUGACAUGCCUGGAAUCCUGCAGAG
rnacentral:rRNA from 1 species